GAUGAAGAACGUAGCGAAAUGCGAUACGUAAUGUGAAUUGCAGAAUUCAGUGAAUCAUCGAAUCUUUGAAUGCACAUUGCGCCCCUUGGUAUUCCAUGGGGCAUGCCUGUUCGAGCGUCAUUUGUACCUUCAAGCUUUGCUUGGUGUUGGGUGUUUGUCUCGCCUUUGCGUGUAGACUCGCCUUAAAACAAUUGGCAGCCGGCGUAUUGAUUUCGGAGCGCAGUACAUCUCGCGCUUUGCACUCAUAACGACGACGUCCAAAAGUACAUUUUUACACUCUUGACCUCGGAUCAGGUAGGGAUACCCGCUGAACUUAAGCAUAUCAAUAAGCGGAGGA
rnacentral:misc_RNA from 1 species